CCCUUGCAAUUCCGAGCCUACCCAUCCAGGUUCCACCAAAUUCCGACAACUUUUAUAUUUUUCCGCCGUGAAUAGUGAUUUGAAUAAGUGGACUUCCGGCCAUUUUUUGAAAACGUUUCUUCAGAACAGUUGGGACGUCUGGUAAAUCCGAUCCUACCCCUACUGUUUUUUAUUUCAUUCUGGUCAGUUUGAAUUUUUCCGGCAAUGACCAGGAUGGUAUUACUAAAUUGAAGCAACAUCUCUUUCAACACUUUCAGA
rnacentral:lncRNA from 1 species